ACAGGUUCGGUUGCAGUGAAGGCCUACAUGCGAAGUUCAAGCCCUGCGGAUAAAAAUAUAAUGAACGCAUUUGUACAACAGACAUGUUCAAAUCUCUUCAACAAGUUUCAGACUGCAGACUUCACCCUGACCUAUGGAAAGGACAGGAUCUCAGUGCAUUGCUCUUCAGUCCUUUUUUCCAUCUCAUAGGAAUCAUAAAAGAGUAAACUUUCAUAAGAUUUUAUGGAAUAUUUCAUUAAUUGAACUAUAGGGUUUGGGUUUUCUGCUGCCAUGGGCUCAUGGUGUAUGCCGGGGAUACCUAUAGUUGGUUGAAAUAGAUAAUCCGGCCUUCUUUACAAUUAAAGAGUGGGCUACCAGUAAGGAGAAAUUGAGAUUUUCCUAGCUUGUGACGGAAAAUAUUAGUUAUAUGAAGACAGGAGGCGAGUAUCUUAUGCAUUAUCUUUCCUUUAAUAAUGCCCACAGCAGAAAUACAACUUUAGUGGAUUUUAGUAAUAAUAAAAGAAUUUU